rnacentral:rRNA from 1 species
UACAGAGGUCUCAAGCGUUGUUCGGAUUCAUUGGGCGUAAAGGGUGCGUAGGUGGCGGGGCAAGUUUGGUGUGAAAUCCCGGGGCUCAACCCCGGAACUGCACUGAAUACUGCCUUGCUUGAGCACUGGAGAGGGAACUGGAAUUUACGGUGUAGCAGUGAAAUGCGUAGAUAUCGUAAGGAAGACCAGUGGCGAAGGCGAGUUCCUGGACAGUUGCUGACACUGAGGCACGAAAGCUAGGGGAGCAAAUGGG